GACGAACGCUGGCGGCGUGCCUAAUACAUGCAAGUUGAGCGGUGAAGAUUGGUGCUUGCACCAAUUUGAAGAGCAGCGAACGGGUGAGUAACGCGUGGGGAAUCUGCCUUUGAGCGGGGGACAACAUUUGGAAACGAAUGCUAAUACCGCAUAACAACUUUAAACAUAAGUUUUAAGUUUGAAAGAUGCAAUUGCAUCACUCAAAGAUGAUCCCGCGUUGUAUUAGCUAGUUGGUGAGGUAAAGGCUCACCAAGGCGAUGAUACAUAGCCGACCUGAGAGGGUGAUCGGCCACAUUGGGACUGAGACACGGCCCAAACUCCUACGGGAGGCAGCAGUAGGGAAUCUUCGGCAAUGGACGAAAGUCUGACCGAGCAACGCCGCGUGAGUGAAGAAGGGUUUCGGAUCGUAAAACUCUGUUGGUAGAGAAGAACGUUGGUGAGAGUGGAAAGCUCAUCAAGUGACGGUAACUACCCAGAAAGGGACGGCUAACUACGUG
rnacentral:rRNA from 1 species